rnacentral:rRNA from 1 species
UACAGAGGUCCCGAGCGUUGUUCGGAUUCACUGGGCGUAAAGGGCGCGUAGGCGGCCUUCUAAGUCGAACGUGAAAUCCCUGGGCUCAACCCAGGAACUGCGUCCGAUACUGGAAGGCUUGAAUCCGGGAGAGGGAUGCGGAAUUCCAGGUGUAGCGGUGAAAUGCGUAGAUAUCUGGAGGAACACCGGUGGCGAAGGCGGCAUCCUGGACCGGUAUUGACGCUGAGGCGCGAAAGCCAGGGGAGCAAACGGG